UACGUAGGGCGCAAGCGUUGUCCGGAAUCACUGGGCGUAAAGGGCGCGUAGGCGGCUCGUUAAGUCCGUUGUUAAAGACUGGGGCUCAACCCCGGCACGGCAGUGGGUACUGGCAGGCUGGACGGCUGGAGAGGCGAGUGGAAUUAGCAGUGUAGCGGUGGAAUGCGUAGAUACUGGUAGGAACACCUAUGGCGAAGGCAGCUCGCUGGACAGCUCGUGACGCUGAGGCGCGAAAGUGUGGGGAGCGAACCGG
rnacentral:misc_RNA from 1 species